UCACCAAGCUGCCUAAAAGCUUUGUGGAGUUUUGGAUUCUGUUGGAGUUUUUUCAUAGAACCCCAACACUCUGCUGGGUUUCUAUAUCUUAACUGGGGAAGACUGUACCAGCACUUUUAAAGGCAAGGUAAAUUCCUUGAAAAACUCCAACAGAAUCCAAAACUCCACAAAGCUUUCAGGCAUCUUGGUGA